rnacentral:lncRNA from 1 species
AUGAAAUAACAAAGCUCUCACUCUUAUAGUCUACAUAUCUCUUUCUCGUUUCUAAAUAACACACACAAAGAAUAGUAAUACAUACAUAUAUAUAUUUAUAGCUAAUACAGUUACAUCUAUCUCGACGUAUAUUUUACAACACGUUAUCAGCACGAGGCUCUGACCAACUGAAGUUUAAGUUCUUAAACCAGCUGAGGUAAUAUUUAAAUUUAUGUGUUUCAAUUUACUUAAUUUAUUUAAAUUUUAUUAUUGUUCUGGAGUGAGAGGCUAGGCCUUCUCUGUUUAUUUUUCGGGAUGAUAGGCGUUGCCUUUCCCGACUGAUUGUUAUGGUAGGCUAUGCCUUCACGAUCAGAAAAACACGUGGUAGGCUUGCCUCCGUGAAUUGAAAAAAAAAAGUUACGUGGAAGGCUUUGCCUCCGUAAAUAAAAAGAAAAGGUCAAAAAUAGUAGACUAAGUCUACUCGGACCUUGAAAUAAGUAAAAGUCAAAAUGGUAGACAAUGUCUCCUCGGACUUUGAAAAAUGAUCAAUAUGGUAGUGUAUGACUCUUCAGAUCAUGUGGUAGGCUGAGCCUCCCGAUUUUAUUUAUGCUAUUUAAAUUUCUACAACUUAAUUUAUGCAUUUAUUUUAUGUAUUUAAUUUCUGCAUUUAAAUUCUCGUCUUUAUUAUAAUAUUAUUCUAUGAAUAAUGUUUUCAUGUGAGUUUUGACAAAGCUCAAAAUAGAUGCUCUUGAUAUUACGAGAAAUAAUUAUAAGACUUGGGUAGUGGAUGCAAAGAUGCACCUGAGAGGUAAUGAGGUUUUUGAAAUCAUCGAUAUAAACUAUAUCGGAUGAGAAAAAGAUAAAGCCAUGAUAAUUUACACCACUUUAAUAAUAGUUUAUAAGAUGAGGUGUAUCAUGAGAAAAGAUCUAAAAGAUCUUUGAUAAAUAAAUCCUUGAAAGAAAGGAUUCACUAAAUAGUUGGAGUUCAUGUAAAUCCUCGGUGAAAACUGAAAAAAAAAUGGAAAUCAUGAUACUAGACCAUCAAGUUGGUCCUAUUAGAAAAGGACGAGGGUGUGGAUGCGGUUGAAACCGCUAUCGUGGUCGUGGAAGAGGGCGAGGAAGAAGGUUCCGUUCCUAUGAGAAUAAUGAGAACUUUCACGAAAAUGAAAGUGUUCGGGUGAUAAAAGGAAAACAAAAAAGGUUUGCUAUAGAUACGGCUAGAAAGAAAAUUGGGUAUGUAGUUGUCGUACGCCAAAUAUUUAGCCGAUUUGUAUCGUGAAUCAAAAAUAAAAAGAGAAAGGAAGUAUUUUAAACUUCAUCUCUUAUGACCCCGAACCAUCUUUCAUAACUUGAAUUCUCAUUUUGAUGAUUUAGAUUUUCUGGUUGGUCCAGAAAAUAAAAAUGAAAAGAUCGAUUUGAUAUGAAAAUUAUCUUCCUGAAUAAUAUUUUAAGAUUCAGGAUGGAAAUAGAUAUAUCUGGCAGAUAUUGAGUCAUCGUAUAUGACUACUAAAGGUAACACAUAUUUCUCCUCUCUCAAAAUAAAUAAGUAUAGUAUCUAGUAAUAUAAAAAUUAUUAUUGGCUCUAGAGGAGCUUAUGAUGAAAAGACAUGCAUAAGAAAAAGAUGGCAAAAUUAUAAAUGAAUCGUAAACCUGAAGUUUACUGAUAUAUAGCCAUCUCCAAUAAUGUUAUCGACGUUAUUGAGAAAUGUUGAAAAACCAGAAGUUUUUCACAUAUAGCAUGUCAAAAUAAGAAACGAAACCAUCAUGGGUGAUGAAUCAUCAAACAAGUUCACUAUAUGUGAUUUCUUUAAGCAGACCCCAAAUUAAGAUCUCACUCUAAAGCAUUUGAAACAUAAUUCAUCCCAAAUGGGAAAACUGAAUAUGUUAUUGGUUCUAGAGUGGGAUUCAGUACGAGAUUUUAGACAUGGAGUGUCAUCAUCUCGAGGGGGAGAAUUAAAGAAUCCUAGUGAGUGGAACAUUAAAAAAUCAUGUUUGCACUUGAAAAAGAACUUGAUAAAGUAAAUUUAAGUAAGAUGAUCCCCAUGAUCGGGUAUAAUGUAGUUGUGAAUGUAAUAAAGACAUAUAUAAUCCAGAGGGGUAAAGUAUAUGGAUAAUUAGAAAUAUGCUCGCAAGUUUGCUAGAAGCAUAUGAUAAACUGAUGGAAUGAGAUAUGUGAAAUGGAUUACAAUGAAAAGUAGAAUAAUCCAUUUACAAAAUGCCUGCCAGACAUUUUGAUGAAAUAAUGAAAUCUCAUAUUCUAGCUGAAAAAGCUCCAAUAAUAAAAUCUGUCCUAAAAGGAAGAUAUAUGAGUCUAUGGCACACUAGAAACGUGGUAGACCACUUUGGUUCCAAAGAGUCCUCGAAAAGAAGCAAAAAUAUGAAUAGAGGAUGAAUCUCAUGAUGAGACCGCUGAUAUGGUUAAUAUUACAGUUAGGUACAUGGGUAAAUCAUUAAUGAUGAUAAUGAGAUCUCGAUUAACCAUAUCAGUACGGGUAAAAAGAUGGAACCAAAGAGAAAAUAGAUUGUCGACAAUAAAAUGAAAAAGCGCUAUAUAAAUUAGGAUUAUGAAUCUACCUCUACGUAUGAGGGUAGAGUGAAUUGAUUGGCCAUCAAUUCGAUAUAAAGCCCGUUAGAAAAACGAGAAAGGUAUAUAUAUCUCCAGAGAAUGAAAUGAAAGAUGACCUUGAGGUAUGAAAAACGGCUUGUUCCAAGAUCACUGGAGAAAAUUUAAAAUAGAUGCAGUUUAUUGAAAUGUCUGGCAGGACAUAAACAGCUUGAAUUGCAUCUUGAUAUUUAGUAGUCCUUGGAGAGUUAAAGAUGCUCUCGGGAAUGUAUAAAACUCUGGAAGAGUUAGAACAAGCCGUAUAUAAGGUAUCUUGAACCGGUAACUGAUGAUAUGUUUACGGCACGUUUGCCGAUAGCCAUUUUAGUGAGGUUGAAUUUCCAGCGUUAGAGAGAGAAAUUAGAGAAAUUUCUAAAAAGAUUAUAUGGUGUACACAGUCAUUGGUACACCUUGAACCCCCCCCCCCCCCUCCCCCCCCCUAUGAAAAGAGAGAGCUGGAAGUUCAUAAAAUUGUGCAUUUGCAUAAUUUGGCAAAUUACCAAAUGUGUUCGCAAAUACGACAUGAUAUACCCGCUAAAAAUGUUAUAUCAAGAAUUAAUGUUCCUAAAGAACAAAAUGAUGGUAACAAAAUAAAUAAACCUAGGGUUCAGUUAAAGAGGGAGAGACCAGCGGGUUCUAUAGAUAAAAAUCCCCGAAAGAAAAAUAAAUUUGUUGAGCAAUGCAGAAAGGUUCGGGAAGAAGCUGAUAUUGAAAAAUGUCUGAAAGAAGGCAUCAGCGAAAAGGUUCAAGAAGAACCAAAUAAAUAUGAUCCAGAUGACGAGAAGGGAACAUAAAAGUAUGAGACUUCCAUCAACUACGUCCAAGAUGAAAAUUAUGGAUCUGAAAUAAGAUAAAAAGAUGUUGAUGGAAUGUUCUCCUUUUCUGUGCAAAGAGAUUGAUCAUAAAAGUGAUGAUCUCGAUCCUAGUUCCAUUUUGGAAUGUCAAAAAGACAUGAUUGGGAGGAGUGGCAGAAGGCCAUUCAAAUUGAAUUACUCUCCCUUACUAAAAUAAAUGUCUUUGGACCUAUAGUCACAAUGGCUGAGAAUAUAAAUUUUGUUGGGUAUAAGUGGGUAUUCGUGAGAAAAGUAACACAAUAUAAAGCCUGAUUGGUUGCCCAAGGAUUUUCUCAGAGUCCGGGAAUUGAUUUUGAGGAAACGUAUUCCCCAGUAAUGAAUGCAAUUACGUUUAGAUUUUUGAUGAGCCUAACGGCGUCUAAAAAUCUUGAAAUGCAUCUCAUGGACAUUGUGACUGCAUAUUUAAAUGGAUCGUGGGAUAACGAUAUAUAUAUAUGAAACUUCCUGAGGGAUUGAAAAUGCCAGGGGCAUUGGAAGAAAAAUCCAGGGAGAUUUGUUCGGUCAAGUUACAGUGAUAACUUUACGGAUUAAAGCAAUCCGGACGCAUGUGGUACAAUCGCUUAAGUGAGUAUCUUUUGAGUAAAAGAUAUGUAAAUAAUGUGAUAUGUCCAUGCGUUUUUAGAAAGAAAUCAUCAUCUGGCUUUGUGAUCAUUGAUGUAUAUGUAGACAACCUGAAUUUAAUUGGAACUCAAAAGGAGGUCUAUGAUGCUCGAACUCAUAUGAAAGAGAAAUUCGAAAUGAAAGAUAUCGGCAAAAAAAAGUUUUGUCUUGGGCUCCCGAUAGAGCAUCUCCGAGAAUGAAUAUGUGUGCAUAAAUCAAACUAUACGAAAAAGUUAUUGAAACCCUUUUAUAUGGACAAAACAACUCCUUUGAGUACUCCAAUGGUAAAUAGAUAUCUCGAUGUUAAAAGAGAUGUUGUUUUAAAAGAUCCUAGUAAGAUCUUAUAUAAAUAAGUACUUUGGAGAUGCUAAUGGUAAUAAAGCAUAUAUGAGCUUAUAUAUCUUGCGAGUUGUGUUUGAUUAAAUAUACUUUUAGACACUAAUGUCUUUGCGAGAUAUAACUCAUUUCCUAUUUAUGGAAAUCUGAACGGCGUCGAGAACAUAUCUGUUCUCUCCAAGGUACGUAUUGAUUUAGAAUUGAUUUAUCCUAGAAACCCCGAGUUUGGUAUGGUUUUGCAGAUAUAUGAUAUUUAUAAAGUCAAACACAAACCGGUUAUAUUUUUACAAUUGGUGGAACCGGAAUCUCUUGGCGGUCCCAAAUAUAAACUCUGGUUAUGACAUCUUCGAAUCAAGCAUAAAUUAUUGUGCUUCACGAAGUAUGUCGAGAAUGUGUGUGGCUUCGGUAAAUGAGUCACCACAUACAAGAGUCAAGUGGAACAGUUAACGAGAAAGAGUCGACGAAAGUAUUUGAAAAAAAUUUGGCUUGUGUUGCUUAACUCAAAGAAGGCUAUAUCAAGAGCGACAUAACAAAACACAUCCUUCCAAGAUUUUUCUCGUACAUAAGGGAAUUCGAGAAAAAGAAAGAGGUAGACAUCGAAUAUGUACAGUCAUGCGAUAAUCCGGCUGACUUGUUUACAAAAGCUCUUUCCACGAUAACAUUCCGUAAACACGUCUACGGUAUCAGAAUGCGGUAUUGUGUGACCUGUGACGAAAAAGCUAGGUCCACUAUUCUCAGGGGGAGAUUACGGCAGUGAACUUUUUUCCAUUGUCAUGGUUUUUGUCCCAAUGAAUUUUUCCAUGACAAAGAUUUUAACGAGGCACUACGUAAUACAAAAUAGAUAAUCAAUGGAGAGUGUUAAAGAUAAUGUUUGUGAUAAUCUAUUUAGAAGAUAAUGUUUCUCUUUCAUUUGUAAAGACAAGAUCAGUACAUGAAAUAAUAAAGCUCUCACUCUUAUAGUCUACAUAUCUCUUUCUCGUUUCUAAAUAACACACACAAAGAAUAGUAAUACAUAUAUAUAUCUUAUCUAUUAAAAUAGAAGUCAUGACUUAGUUCAUGUAUGAUUUUUUUAUUUGGACCACCCCUUAGAAAGUUGUUUAAAUUAUAUUUUUAUAAAUAUAUGAAUUUUUUUUAAUUAUUCUAAAACAAAAAAUCAAAUAGAUAUUCUUAUAUUUUCUCUGAAAUUUUAUAUAAAUAAAAUAUUUUCAUAUCUUUUUAUUUACAAUAUAAAUAUAUUAUUUAUUUUCAUUAAAAUAAACCUUUUAAAUAUUUAAUUAAUAUCAUAUUUAUUUAAAUAAAUGUAAAUUUCAUUUUUCACCUAAUAUUUUUUAUAAAAUAUUUUUUAAUUUCUUGUUUAUUUAAAAAUUUAAUGUAUAUUUCAUUUUCAAUAAAAAAAACGUUUUAAAUAUCUAAUUAAUUUUGUAAUUAUAACUAAAAUCAUGUAGAAUUUUGUAUUAAAUUUGUGAUAUUAAUUUAAUAUAAUACUUUUCAUCUAAAAUUUUGAUCUUUUACCAAUAAUAUAUUUCAAUUCAUUAUUUUGUAUCACAUAAUAUAAAAUAUGCUAUCAUAGAAAAUUAAAAAAAAAAGUUUAUUGUAUGUGUACUAUAAAAUUGUUGUAUUUUAAAAUAUUAUAUCAAAAAAUAUAACUGUAAAUAUUACAAUUAGUCACGUAAAGCAAAUAAUUAUGUGUUUGCAAAUAAAAAUAAUCACCCGCACGGUUGUGCGGAUCAAAAUCUAGUUUAUAUUUAUAGCUAAUACAGUUACAUCUAUCUCGACGUAUAUUUUACAACAAAAACAACAUAUAUCAUCUUUAUCUCUCUCUCUCUCUCGUUGAAUCCUUUUUCUCCAAACAUAAAAUAUAUCCAAACAUAUAUCAUCUUUUUUGGUAUAUCUAGAUAAUAGGUAGGAGCAUAAACUGAAACAUUCUGAAACUACAAAAAUAGUUAUUAAAUCGUUAGCACCACAUAAAAAUUAUAGCUAAAUAUCAAUAUAUUUAUAUCUAUAUUGAUAUUGCGUCCAAUAGGAUUUGAACCUAUACCAAAGGUACAUAAUAUAUAAAUACAGAUUUAUAUAUCCCUCACUAUUACAUAUGAGCUAAUAGUUUACAACAAAUCUAAGUUUUUUUACAUUAGCAACAGAUUUUAGGAAAAGCGAAUACACUUUUGCUACCUGAUACUAUUCUAGAAAAUAACAAAAGUAACGACACAAAGGAGCUGCCUAAGGCUAAUAAAAACUAGAACAUCUAACAAAAUAACUUAAAUCAUAUAUUGAAAAUGCCUUUAGAGACUAGUAUCUGAAACAGAACCAACACCACCAUUGAUGGGCGAGCAACCACAUGCACUUGAAAUAAGCAUUUGAAAUGAAUCAUCAAAUAUAGAUCGUGGGAACCCUCCAAAGUUGCAUAUAUCAAAGCUCAGCGGUGAGAAAGACUCCUCGAAGCUUGUCUUCCCAUCCAUGACACAAGGCUGUGAGGUUUCUUGAUUAGCAUUUGCUGCAGAACCAAGACUGAAACUAACCAUUGCUGCGUUGUUGUUACUGUUCCCGCAACCAGAGCUCCCUCUCUGAGAAGAUGCAGCAGCAGAAGGUUUUGUGUCUUCAAGUGGGAUCGCAGGAGUGUGUCCCUGGAACAGAGCAAUGUGACCGAACAGCUUGUCUUUGCGUGAGAAUGUGGUACCACAGGAACAGAGCCACUUGUUUUGCCCGCAGUGCUUCUCGUGGGUUUUGAGAUCGGCAAUGACAGAGAAUUUCUUGGUAUGGCAGCGGCUGCAAGUGAAGCUUUUGUCGCAGUGGGUGCGUUUAUAAUGGUUCUUCACGCACAGAAUGGUCUUCAAAGGCUGGAACCUUUUGUGAUCCUUGUUACGUUUGCAGCCCGGGAAUGGGCAAGAGUACCUUUUGAUCAGCAUCGGCGCAUCAGACCCGGGAAGGGUUUCUUUGGUCGGGGGCUUGGCCAGAGCGGCGGGAGUUUUGUACUGGUCACCGUGCCCUCUCAUGUGCAUCCUCAGGUUGGCGUCUCUCUUGAAACCCUUGCCACAUAUAGUGCAGAAGUUGGUAUGGGGGGCGAGGAUCUCCUCUUUCUCAAGCUGCUUAAUCUCGUAGGAACCGGGAGGAAGGUUCUCUCCUUCCUCGGCAUCAUCUUCGAGCUCUUGGGAGGCGCCACCGUUGUUAAGGGUCUGUGAAGCAAGGUUAUUAGCCUCCCUUGGAAAAGGGAACAAGGCUGAACCUGGGGCUGUAGUAGACAACAUAUUAACAGAUGGAAGAAGACUACCUGCAGUUGAAAUCAGCUGUAUGAUUAUGGAAGUAAGAUCAGCGGUUAUGAGUUGCUGCUGCUCGUCUUGAAGCUGCCCGUUUCGCCCAAGGAUGAGAUGAACAAGACCCUGCAGUUCGUGAAUCUUCUGUUCCAUAAAAGACAGGUUGCACAGCAUGGUCCUCGGAUCCCACGCUUGAGCCUUGACGCCUUGCACACUAGCUUGACCACCGUUGUUGUUGUUGUUGUUGUCUUUGCCCGAAGAAGAAGCUUUGAAAACAUGCAAAUUAGGCUCCCCCUCCUCCUCAUCCUCCAUAGCCAUCUCGUAAUCCAAGAUGGAAGCACUUCCCCAAUUGUUCUGGCACAGAUCAUCCUCUCCUGUUUCCAUGUUCUUUGUCUACUAACACCUUCAAAAACCCACAAGAUAAGAUGAUCAUCACAUCAAUUUUAAUUUAAAAAAAUGAAAGAAAACAAACUUGGAAUUGAAAAGUUUAAUAGAUAGAACAAAUCUCAAACCUUUUUGUCUCCCAAAAGUAUCUUUCUCACACCACUCUAGAGAUCUACAAAUCGAUCGAUGAUAACAAGCAGAAGAAUCAAAUCAUCACUCGCCCACAAUAAAUUCACUCCAUGACAGUAGCCUUUAAAUGAUUCUUCGGGACCUCCAGUGGCCGCUUUAAAAGGAUUAGGAGAGAAGGAGAGCUUGAGCGAAGGGACUCUCCUCUCCACUUUUCCGAUUUUCAAGUCAACGAAAUUAUCUCAGCCGUUCAAAUGUAUUUUGAUCGGCCAUCCACCAGAUCUGACGACUCUCAGGCGCUUGCUUUGUCGCAUCAAACACAGUAACGCUACAGAAGAGCCGUUGAUUUAUGGAAACUAUACGAUAGAGAAGGGGGUAAAUAGCGUGGGUCCACACCACCAAUUCUCAUGUCACGCACGACUUUUCAAUAUGUUUUGCUCUUUCCGGUGAACUAUCCAUGCAAACUAGUGUUGUUUUGUGUAUUAAACUGAAAACAUUCAGAUGAAUCAAUCACUCAACUCCAUUCUUUUAAACCCACCUCAAUUUUUCACACAAAUGAAUGUGAGUUUUCAUUGAGCAUCUCCCAUAUAUCUAUUUCAUUUCAAAAUAAUAACUAAUAAAAAUAAUCCUUUCAAAUUUAAAAGUUAUCUUCCUAAACUAAAUGUCAUGAAAUUAUAAUUAUUUUCAAACAUAUUUUCUGUAAAAUUACACUUUUUCGUCAAAACCAGCAAAAUGCACAUGUGUUUCUUUUAAUUCAACAUCUUCCUUACAUUGGUUUAAACAGUUAAAUUAUUCAACAUGUCCAUUAUUAAUCGUCAUAGAAUUAUUUUUUAUAAAUUUUUAACUUAAUGGAAAAUAUAUAUUUAAUUUUUUUUAUUUAUAAAUUAAUUUUUUUGUAACACCUAAUAAUGUAUUAACAAUUUCAUCUUAACUCAUUUUGUAGAUGAAAUAUAUUUUUAUUUUAUUUAUAGGUUUUUUUAUUUUUAUGAGAUAGAUAAGAUAUAUUUUUAAAUUCAAAAUCUGAAAAAAAAAUUUUGGUAUAGCUGAUAGUAUUUUAUAAUUUAUAUAGUUAUUCAUUUUAUAGUAAAUAUAAAUAUAUAUAUAUAUAUAUAUAUAUAUAUAUAUAUAUAUAUAUUAAUUCUAUUUAUUUAAAAAUUUUAAAUUUAAUCUAUUUUAUAAAACUUUAUAGGAAAUUUUUGUUUAAUAUUAGAUUAUAACUAUUGUUAAAGUAGGGUUCAUUGUGACAUUAUAGAAACAUGAAAUUGUGUGGUAAAAGAGAAAAUAGACAUUUUAUUGAUCAACAGAGCAUGGGUACAAUGUAUUGGUCCAGAAACCCUAGUUUUAUCUACAUGUUUCUAUAGUCGAAGUGUUCCAUAGUUGAUCCCCCACUUACAGAGUUUAUGAGUCCCUUUUAUAGCUUUUUGUAGUUGAAAUUUAGAUUAUCAUUUUAUAUCCUAAAAUAUGGAAAGAUCUACUUUUAGUAUAAGCUUUUUUUCAUUUUACUCGGAGAUUAGAAAACACACGAUAUAGAGGCUGGAGUUCGUUUAAUCAGGAGAAAAAACAGGCGUCCUGCUUUAAGUAGUAGGAGGAAUGAUUUCCUAGAUUAAUAUCCCAACAACUAUAGCAUAUAUUUUUGUUUUCUUUUAAUAUUUAACAACUUAAUUUAAUUAUUUAUAUAAUAUACUAUAAAUAUUUUAUACUAUUUUGUACGAUAAUUUUUUAUUAAAUAUAUAGAUAAAUCAACAUAUUUCUCUAAGUAUUAUAAGAAUCAUUAUGGUGAUGACACAUAAUUACUUCAAAUAUUGUAAUGCUUCUCAAAUAGCAUAUAAGAUACUUUUGGUUAGUAAUGAUCCCUUUUAAUAAAAAUAUAUUAUAUUUCUCUCCGAUACUUUUGUUAAAUAUAUAUAAUUAAUAUAAACAAAAUACUUCCUCGAUUUUAUAAUAAGUGUCACUUAGACACAUUUCACACACAUUAAAAAAUAACAAAAUAUAUUAAUCUACCUUUAUUUAUUAUACAAUUAUUUAAAUAAAUUGAUUUAACUAAAUAUAUAUAUAUAUAUAUAUUGAUUUUUUAAAAGGGUAAAAAGGAGAUUUAAUGUAAAAUUUAAGUUGAGAAUAUAGAAUGACAUUUAUUAAAACAAAAGGAAAAAAAACCUAAAAUGAUAUUCUUUAUAAAACAGAUAGAGUAUAUUUCAAUAAUUAUACUUUAAUAAAACAGAGGAAAAACGUAAACAAUGAACCAACAAUCUAUUGGUCUAGUGGUAAAAGAGUGUUUAGUAUGCACUUCACCGUUCUAGUUUAAUUUUCGUUAGGAAAAAACUAUUGGAUUUUUGGUAAAAAGGUGAAAUCACUUUUUUAAUUUCCAAAAAAAAACUUGAAUUGUGAAGAACCUCCGAAGGUUUGUUUCGUUCAUGCACCACUUGAAGGCCAAAGUUGAAAACCAAGGAUUUUUUAUUUUAUUAUCUUUUGUUAUGAAAACAAGAUGGAUUAUUUUAAUAAAAAGGAUCGAACGUUGAUUGGGAAAACAAGAUAAGAUUCCCCACCUGCUAAUGAGGUAAUUAAGUCAACAACAUUCACCAUUUUCAAAUAGCAAUGGGCUCUCAUUUCUGCUUUCACCAUUUCCCUAUACUUCUUACAACUAUAAAUAAAUGUCAUAAAUAAUGCUCUUUAAUUUAUUUUGGUUAAAUAAAGAUAAGGGAAUGAUGUGGAGAAAUGGACUCAGCCAUUUUUAUGUGGUAGUUAAUGCUUUUUCUAAGAUUCUUGUAACCUUGCCCAAUAUUCUCAUUUUUUUAUAUAUAAUCUAUUUUGGAAACUAAAGAUUUUUACUAUCAUGCACAUAUAUUAAGAAUUUUUUUAAUUCCUUACAUUUUUUAUUUUUAAAUAUAAUUAAGUAUAUAAAUACACACAUAUUACAUAAUAUAAAAGAGAGCAAUUCUCUCAAAUAAUUUUAAAACAUGUUUUCUUUCACCAAAAAAAAAUCACAAAAAAGAAAAUGACCAAAACAUAUUUUAUUAAGGAGCCAAAAGACCCUUAUACAUUUAUUUUAUAGUUAUAUAAAUAUAAAUAGUUAUUUAUUAAAUGUUAAAAUAAUAAAAAUAGUUUUCGAAUUGUUUGUUUUAGAAUUCAAUUUUUUGUUAUAAAUUUUCCUUUUCAGAUAUCUAUAUUAUUAAAGUUGAAGUACACAUUGAGAUUGUUUGGCAAUAUGGAUAGUAAUUAAAAAAAUAGUAUUGUUUGAAAACAUGGAUAGUAGUAAGUUAGGAAAAAAAAUAAUGGGCUUAUACUACUAAAAAUUGGAAGUACAUUACAUUAUAUUAAAAAGUAAUGAGUCUAUGUUAUUUGAUAUAUAAUAUAUUCAAAUCAAAAUAAUAAUUUAAAAUUGAUUUAUAUCAAAAAUUCAUUCAAAUAUAUAUAUAUAUAUAUAUAUAUUCAAAAUUUGAUUUUUACUAACAUAUUUUCUAAUAACUAUUAUAAAAAUGUUUUCAAUAUAUAUAAGAAAAAUACAAUACAAAGCCCAAUUUCAAACACCAACUUAAAUUAUGGUUUUUAUAUUUCACAUUAAAUUUUAAAAUAUAAUAUAUGUGAUUAUUUAUAUGAUUGUACGUAUAAAAUAUUAUUAAUUAUAAGAAAACUUAUUUGAUGGUACAUAUAAAAUAUGAUUAAUUAUAUGAUAACACAUAUUUUGUAACCUAUGAUGACACAUAUAGGAUAUAUAUAUAAUAGUGAUUAGGGGUGGGCGUUCGGGUUCAUUUUCGGAUCUUUUUGGGAUUUCGUGUUCAGUUCAGAUCUUUGAGGAUUUGGUUCGGAUUUGGAUAACCAAUUUAAAUAGGUUUGAUUUAAAUAUUUGGAUAGAGAAUUAAUAAUUAUUUAAGUAUUUUUGGAGUUUUGAGUAUAUCUUAACUAUUUAAGAUAUUUAUGUUUGAUUAUUUGUAUAUAUUUUCAAGCAUUUAAGCGAACUUAAAAGUUUACAUCAUAUAUAUACGUAUUUAAACGAACUUAGAAGUUUACAUCAUAUUUUCAAGCAUUUAAGCGAAUUUAAAAGUUUACAUCAUAUAUUUAAGUAUUUACGUUUGAUUAUUUGUAUAUAUUUGCAUCAUAUAUAUUCUGGAUAUUUUUAUAUAUAUUAAAUCUAAAAUAAUUAAUAUAUAUAAGUGUAUAAAUCUAUUUUGGAUACCCAAAAUACUUCGGUUCGGAUCGGAUUAAAUUUCAGUUAUUCAAAUACCAAAAUUUUGAAUAAUUCGGAUAUUUAAUCAAUUCCGGUUCAGAUUUAGUACUACUUAUUCGGAUUGUGAUCGGUUCAAUUCUUCGAAUUCGAGUUUUUUGACCAACCCUAAAUAGUGACAAAAAAAUCAAAUAGCAUCAUAUUUUUUUUAAAAUACACCCGCACGGGCGUGCGGGUCAAAAUCUAGUUUGUUUUAAAACAAAAUCCAUUUUUCAAAUUUUUUUGUUUCAAAGUUUUAUUUUUGAAAUUCGAAAACUUGUUUUGAAAAUAUUUUAAAAAUUUUAUUUUAAAUUUUAAGUAUUUAUUUAUUAUUUUUUAAAAAUCAUAAACCCCACCCCAAAAUCCACUCCUCAAAUCUAAACUCUAAAUUUAUAUUAUUUAAUUCUAGGGAGAUCAUUAUCUAUUUACUUUUUUAAUAAAAUAUUUUGAUCAUUUUAAUCCUUGGAAGCUAUAUAUGUAAUAAAAGACUAUUUUAGGGUCAUCCUAAGAAAUUUCUCUAUAAAAUAUCAUAUAAUAUAAAAAGCUAUGAAAGCUUGCAUUGGAAAUAUAUAAUGUCAUCUAAUUUGGAAUAAAAAAUUUUGCUAAAGGUUAAUUAAGUAUUAUAAAACAGAAAGAUUUACUUUUCCGUGAAUAAUAUAGUAUAUCUGAAAAACCAAAAAUAAUGAAGUUUAUAAGAACAAAAAUGACAAUCCACGAGGCCACGAGGAGUUUACGACGAAAUUAAAAAAAAAAUAAAGAAAGCGGGGCACGCUAAUUCCACGUAAGACUCUCUGAGUGAAUGAAAAUAAGUAAUUGUGGUUUGGAAUGAAAAUAAAGAUAGGGUUUGGAAUAUAUGAAGUAGAAGAUAAGGAAUAUGGGGUUUGGGGUUUGGGGUUUCGGGUUUUAGGGAUUUAAAUGGAAUACUCGUUAAUUCCUCGUAUGUUAACGUCGAACUUACGACGAAUUCCUCGUAAAUACCACGUAGGACAGAUUCGUCGUAAAUACCACGUAGGACAGAUUCGUCGUAAAUACCACGUAGGACAGAUUCGUCGUAAAUACCACGUAGGAGAGAUUCGUCGUAAAUACCACGUAAAGUAAAUGAUGAACGCGGCCCACUUUAAUUCCACGUAGGACGGAAUCGUCGUAAACACCUCGUAACCAAAAUCGUCGUAAACACCUCGUACCGUAAAAACUAGAAAAAAAAAGAAGAAGAAAUAUACUGGAUUUACAUGUGGCAAGACUUCCAGCAAUUAUAUUACUUAAGUCUCACCAACAUAAAUUCCAAUAUCUUCUUCUCUUCCUUUUUUUUCAAAUUUUUAUAAUUUGAAUAGGAUUGGAUUUGAGAGUAUGAAGUGAGAUAGGGUGUGAUUUGGGAGUUUGGGUGUGGGUUGAGAAGGAGAGUUACGGGUAUAUUUAUAGGGAAGCUUUCCUCGGUAAUUCCACGUAAGCAAAAUCGUCGUAACGUCCUCGUACCUAAAAAACACGGGCCUUUGUAAUUCCUCGUAACUUCCUCGUAUAAUAAAACGCGGGCCUUUGUAAUCUCUCGCUGUUUCGUCGUAAAAAAAACACGGGCCUCUGUAAUUCGUCGUAAAAUUACGAGGAAUUUGCGACGGAAUGUAAUCUUAUAUAUACACCCCGAGCGCUCACUCUUUCUUUCCUCUCUACUUCCUCUCCACUUCCUCCCUGUUUCGUUGCAAUGGUAAGCCUCUCUAAUUCCUCUCUAAUUUGGUUAGUUUAGGUAGAUUAGGCGGUUAGUAUAGGGAAUUUAGAUAAGUUUACGGAUCUUAUGUUAUUUAGUGUUGAUUAGGUGGAUAAUGUUGGAAAAUAUACUGUUGACGGAAAUUUAAAAAAUUAAAUUUUUUUUCUCAGGUUCGAAAAGGUAGACUUACUGCCCAUUACAGAGAGAUGUUCGGUGAGCCAGGUAGUCACCAACCGACGACUCACAUGCCGAGGCGGAUGUAACGGCGAGGAGUGAUGAAUUCUACCGGGCGAUUAACGACCCUUAG